GACGAACGCUGGCGGCGUGCUUAACACAUGCAAGUCGAACGGAAAGGCCCUGCUUUUGUGGGGUGCUCGAGUGGCGAACGGGUGAGUAACACGUGAGUAACCUGCCCUUGACUUUGGGAUAACUUCAGGAAACUGGGGCUAAUACCGGAUAGGAGCUCCUGCUGCAUGGUGGGGGUUGGAAAGUUUCGGCGGGUGGGGAUGGACUCGCGGAUAAUCAGCUUGUUGGUGGGGUAGUGGCUUACCAAGGCUUUGACGGGUAGCCGGCCUGAGAAGGUGACCGGCCACAUUGGGACUGAGAUACGGCCCAGACGCCUACGGGAGGCAGCAGGGGGGAAUAUUGCACAAUGGGCGGAAGCCUGAUGCAGCAACGCCGCGUGCGGGAUGACGGCCUUCGGGUUGUAAACCGCUUUCGCCUGUGACGAAGCGUUAGUGACGGUAAUGGGUAAAGAAGCACCGGCUAACUACGUG
rnacentral:rRNA from 1 species